rnacentral:tRNA from 1 species
GUGUGGCUAGCUCAGUAGGUUAGAGCGUGGUGCUGACGAUGCCAAGGUUGCAGGUUUGAUCCCUGUAUGGGGCAGCUGCAUA